rnacentral:rRNA from 1 species
GUAGGUGGCAAGCGUUGUCCGGAAUUAUUGGGCGUAAAGCGCGCGCAGGGCGGUCCUUUAAGUCUGAUGUGAAAGCCCACGGCUCAACCGUGGAGGGUCAUUGGAAACUGGGGGACUUGAGUACAGAAGAGGAAAGCGGAAUUCCAAGUGUAGCGGUGAAAUGCGUAGAGAUUUGGAGGAACACCAGUGGCGAAGGCGGCUUUCUGGCCUGUAACUGACGCUGAGGCGCGAAAGCGUGGGGAGCAAACAGGAUUAGAUACCCUGGUAGUCCACGCCGUAAACGAUGAGUGCUAAGUGUUAGGGGGUUUCCGCCCCUUAGUGCUGCAGCUAACGCAUUAAGCACUCCGCCUGGGGAGUACGGCCGCAAAGGCUG